CACAGCUGUCCUGACCACCUUCCCAGCUUUCACUGAAAAAGCUCUUUUUCUCCUUGGGCUGGGUCCUCUCUGCUGCUACCUCCACCAUUCUGAUCUUCAUUCCCAAGCCCUUCAGCCAGACAUCAGAAUUUCUCCUUGCACAGGUAAAUCAAUCCAGAUUGGAAUAUCUGCCUUCAUCCCCUAUUGUAUUGUAUAGUUCAAUCAGUGAAGACUGAUACACCAUCUUAUAUCAGCUGCAUUCCUUCAUCUUAUGACAAAAAUAAACAUGAUUUUAAAAGCUGAAUCUUGUCAGAGGACAAAAUCAGUGAUUUCCAGCAGGAGUGAUGCAAAAGCUGAAAGGCUUUGUGCUAGAGGAAGAGGAUAUGGUUAAAGACAUCAGGAUGUCUACAAAACAGAUUUAUUUCCAUCUCAGCAGGAUGCAGCCAUGUUUCUCUAA
rnacentral:lncRNA from 1 species